CCGCUGUGUGAAGAAGCCUGAAGUUGUAAGCACUUUCAAUAGGAAGGAAUACCUAUCGGUUAAUACCCGGUAGACUGACAUUACCUAUACAAGAAGCACCGGCUAACUCCGUGCCAGCAGCCGCGGUAAUACGGAGGGUGCAAGCGUUAAUCGGAAUUACUGGGCGUAAAGCGUGCGUAGGCGGUUAUUUAAGUCAGAUGUGAAAGCCCUGGGCUUAACCUGGGAACUGCAUUUGAUACUGGAUGACUAGAGUUGAGUAGAGGAGAGUGGAAUUUCAGGUGUAGCGGUGAAAUGCGUAGAGAUCUGAAGGAACACCAGUGGCGAAGGCGGCUCUCUGGACUCAAACUGACGCUGAGGUACGAAAGCGUGGGUAGCAAACAGGAUUAGAUACCCUGGUAGUCCACGCCGUAAACGAUGUCAACUAACCGUUGGGUUCUUUAAGAACUUAGUGGUGGAGCUAACGUAUUAAGUUGACCGCCUGGGGAGUACGGCCGCAAGGCUAAAACUCAAAUGAAUUGACGGGGGCCCGCACAAGCGGUGGAGCAUGUGGUUUAAUUCGAUGCAACGCGAAGAACCUUNACCUACCUUGACAUGUAGCGAAUCCUUUAGAGAUAGAGGAGUGCCUUCGGGGAACGC
rnacentral:rRNA from 1 species